rnacentral:rRNA from 1 species
UACGAAGGGGGCUAGCGUUGCUCGGAAUGACUGGGCGUAAAGGGCGCGUAGGCGGAUGGCACAGUCAGAUGUGAAAUUCCCGGGCUUAACCUGGGGGCUGCAUUUGAUACGUGUGAUCUAGAGUGAGGAAGAGGGUCGUGGAAUUCCCAGUGUAGAGGUGAAAUUCGUAGAUAUUGGGAAGAACACCGGUGGCGAAGGCGGGUCUCUGGGCCGUAACUGACGCUGAGGAGCGAAAGCGUGGGGAGCGAACAGG